GACAAAAAUGUAUUAUGAUAUGAGUGGGAGAGAAGAGAAGAAUAGAUAAGCGUAGAAGAAUACGAGAAUGCAUGAUACCUUACACAAACUUCAAGUCUUCAACUUUGUAUUUUAUUUUCUUUUAUUUUUUUCAUUUAUUUUACAAAAACAAAUAAGUGAUAAGUGAUGUGUGCUUGUGUUUGUGUCUUCUUUGUACAGAACACACGACGUCGUUUGACAUGUUUAAGUCUCCACGUGCCUGAAAUUGAAGAUUCU
rnacentral:lncRNA from 1 species